rnacentral:rRNA from 1 species
AGCUCUAAUAGUAUAUAUUAGUGUUGUUGCAGUUAAAACGCUCGUAGUUGGAUUGUGGGGCAUGAUGGCUGAGUCUCACCGAUUUUGGUGUUGUUUCUCUGGCCUUUUCGUGUUUCCCUUACACUUCCUGAAGACCUGGCAUUGUCCUUACCGGCAGUGUCAUGGGAUUCUGGACUUUUACUUUGAAAAAAUUAGAGUGUUCAAAGCAGGCAUACUUCGCUUGAAUAAAUUAGCAUGGAAUAAUAAAAUAGGAUGUCGAUUCUAUUUUGUUGGUUUCUGCAGAGUUGACAUAAUGAUUGAUUGGGACGGCCAGGGUCAUUUGUAUUUAAUUGUCAGAGGUGAAAUUCUUGGAUUUGUGAAAGACAAACUUCUGCGAAAGCAUUUGACAGGAAUGUUUUCUU